rnacentral:rRNA from 1 species
GUGCCAGCAGCCGCGGUAAUACGUAGGGCGCAAGCGUUAUCCGGAAUUAUUGGGCGUAAAGAGCUCGUAGGCGGUUUGUCGCGUCUGCCGUGAAAGUCCGGGGCUCAACUCCGGAUCUGCGGUGGGUACGGGCAGACUAAGUGAUGUAGGGGAGACUGGAAUUCCUGGUGUAGCGGUGAAAUGCGCAGAUAUCAGGAGGAACACCGAUGGCGAAGGCAAGGUCUCUGGGCAUUAACUUGAACGCUGAGGAGCGAAAGCAUGGGGAGCGAAACCAAGGAUUAAGGAUAACCC